rnacentral:tRNA from 1 species
GCGCCCGUAGCUUAAUGGAUAGAGUACAUGGUUGCGGUCCAUGCGGUUGUGGGUUCGACUCCCGCCGGGCGCG